rnacentral:rRNA from 1 species
AUUGAACGCUGGCGGCAUGCUUUACACAUGCCAAUCGAACGGCAGCACGAAAGAGCUUGCUCUUUUGGUGGCGAGUGGCGAACGGGUGAGUAAUGCAUCGGAACAUACCGAGUAAUGGGGGAUAACUGUCCGAAAGGAUAGCUAAUACCGCAUACGCUUUGAGAAGGAAAGUGGGGGCUCUUCGGACCUCACGUUAUUCGAGCGGCCGAUGUCUGAUUAGCUAGUUGGUGGGGUAAAGGCCUACCAAGGCGACGAUCAGUAGCGGGUCUGAGAGGAUGAUCCGCCACACUGGGACUGAGACACGGCCCAGACUCCUACGGGAGGCAGCAGUGGGGAAUUUUGGACAAUGGGCGCAAGCCUGAUCCAGCCAUGCCGCGUGUCUGAAGAAGGCCUUCGGGUUGUAAAGGACUUUUGUUAGGGAAGAAAAGGAUAGUGUUAAUACCAUUAUCUGCUGACGGUACCUAAAGAAUAAGCACCGGCUAACUACGUG